GGGCGUGUGGCUCAGUUGGUAGAGCGUUCGCUUAGCAUACUACCUCCCACCCACCCUGCGGCGGACGGCCCCGUAAAGGGGGUGUGUGAAAGUGUAUGCGAAAGGUCCUGGGUUCGAUUCCCAGCUCGUCCA